rnacentral:lncRNA from 1 species
GCUGGGCUGGUAGGCACGCAGGUAGGUCGAGCCAUUUGGCCGGGCUGGUCCGUUUUCUUUUUUUUCCCUCUUUUCUUUUUCUAUUUUCUUUUAUAACUUUUGAUUUUGAACUCCAAAUCACACCAAAUAAAAUCCAGAAAAUUUGUAAAAUCAAACCCCCAACUACUUUAGCUUCUGGAACUUGAUUUACUCCAAAAUAGAAUAUAUUAAAAUAAUUUUGCUUGUAUAAUUGCCUUUAGGGCUUUAUAACAAUUAAAAUAAAUAGUUUAUCAACUCCAAUUUAAAUACCAAAAAUUAUGGGGUAGCUCAUUUAUGCA